rnacentral:rRNA from 1 species
CCCUUAGAUGUUCUGGGCUGCACGCGCGCUACACUGAUGCGUUCAUCGAGUUUACGCCCUGGCCCGGCAGGGUUGGGUAAUCUUUUGAAAACGCAUCGUGAUGGGGAUAGAUUAUUGCAAUUAUUAAUCUUCAACGAGGAAUUCCUAGUAAGCGCGAGUCAUCAGCUCGUGCUGAUUACGUCCCUGCCCUUUGUACACACCGCCCGUCGCUACUACUGAUUGGAUGGUUAAGCAAGAACUUCAAAUACUUGCAGUUUUGACUUCGGUUGAGACAGCGAGUUGAAGAAGAUCGAGCUUAUUUGUCUAGAGGAAGUAAAAGUCGUAACA